rnacentral:rRNA from 1 species
GGUAGCCGGACUGAGAGGUUGAACGGCCACAUUGGGACUGAGACACGGCCCAGACUCCUACGGGAGGCAGCAGUGGGGAAUAUUGCACAAUGGGGGAAACCCUGAUGCAGCGACGCCGCGUGGAGGAAGAAGGUCUUCGGAUUGUAAACUCCUGUUGUUGAGGAAGAUAAUGACGGUACUCAACAAGGAAGUGACGGCUAACUACGUGCCAGCAGCCGCGGUAAAACGUAGGUCACAAGCGUUGUCCGGAAUUACUGGGUGUAGAGGGAGCGCAGGCGGGAAGGCAAGUUGGAAGUGAAAUCCAUGGGCUCAACCCAUGAACUGCUUUCAAAACUGUUUUUCUUGAGUAGUGCAGAGGUAGGCGGAAUUCCCGGUGUAGCGGUGGAAUGCGUAGAUAUCGGGAGGAACACCAGUGGCGAAGGCGGCCUACCGGGCACCAACUGACGCUGAGGCUCGAAAGUGUGGGUAGCAAACAGGAUUAGAUACCCUGGUAGUCCACACUGUAAACGAUGAUUACUAGGUGUUGGAGGAUUGACCCCUUCAGUGCCGCAGUUAACACAAUAAGUAAUCCACCUGGGGAGUACGACCGCAAGGUUGAAACUCAAAGGAAUUGACGGGGGCCCGCACAAGCAGUGGAGUAUGUGGUUUAAUUCGACGCAACGCGAAGAACCUUACCAAGUCUUGACAUCCUGCGACGGUGCUGGAAACAGUACUUUCCUUCGGGACGCAGAGACAGGUGGUGCAUGGUUGUCGUCAGCUCGUGUCGUGAGAUGUUGGGUUAAGUCCCGCAACGAGCGCAACCCUUAUGGUCAGUUACUACGCAAGAGGACUCUGGCCAGACUGCCGUUGACAAAACGGAGGAAGGUGGGGAUGACGUCAAAUCAUCAUGCCCUUUAUGACUUGGGCUACACACGUACUACAAUGGCGUUAAACAAAGAGAGGCAAGACCGCGAGGUGGAGCAAAACUCAGAAACAACGUCCCAGUUCGGACUGCAGGCUGCAACUCGCCUGCACGAAGUCGGAAUUGCUAGUAAUCGCAGAUCAGCAUGCUGCGGUGAAUACGUUCCCGGGCCUUGUACACACCGCCCGUCACACCAUGAGAGCCGGGGGGACCCGAAGUCGGUAGUCUAACCGCAAGGAGGACGCCGCCGAAGGUAAAACUGGUGAUUGGGGUGAAGUCGAAACAAGGUAGCCGUAGGAGGACCUGCGGCUG